rnacentral:pre_miRNA from 1 species
UUCCAAAUCCAGAGGCUUAUAGCUCUGAGUCUUGAGAACUAGAGGCUUAAGGCUCCAAGCUUUCAAAGCAGGAGGC